AGUGAACGCUGGCGGUAGGCCUAACACAUGCAAGUCGAACGGCAGCACAGUAAGAGCUUGCUCUUACGGGUGGUGAGUGGCGGACGGGUGAGGAAUACAUCGGAAUCUACUUUUUCGUGGGGGAUAACGUAGGGAAACUUACGCUAAUACCGCAUACGACCUACGGGUGAAAGCAGGGGAUCUUCGGACCUUGCGCGAUUGAAUGAGCCGAUGUCGGAUUAGCUAGUUGGCGGGGUAAAGGCCCACCAAGGCGACGAUCCGUAGCUGGUCUGAGAGGAUGAUCAGCCACACUGGAACUGAGACACGGUCCAGACUCCUACGGGAGGCAGCGGUGGGGAAUAUUGGACAAUGGGCGCAAGCCUGAUCCAGCCAUACCGCGUGGGUGAAGAAGGCCUUCGGGUUGUAAAGCCCUUUUGUUGGGAAAGAAAAGCAGCAGGUUAAUACCCCGCUGUUCUGACGGUACCCAAAGAAUAAGCACCGGCUAACUUCGUG
rnacentral:rRNA from 1 species